rnacentral:rRNA from 1 species
AGCUGUCGCCAAAAGAUGGGCCCGCGUCGCAUUAGCUAGUUGGUGGGAUAAAAGCUCACCAAGGCAACGAUGCGUAGCCGACCUGAGAGGGUGAUCGGCCACACUGGGACUGAGACACGGCCCAGACUCCUACGGGAGGCAGCAGUAGGGAAUCUUCCGCAAUGGACGAAAGUCUGACGGAGCAACGCCGCGUGAGUGAUGAAGGUUUUCGGAUCGUAAAACUCUGUUGUAAGGGAAGAACAAGUACGAAUUAACUACUCGUACCUUGACGGUACCUUACCAGAAAGCCACGGCUAACUACGUGC